rnacentral:rRNA from 1 species
CAUGUCUUUUUGAUUAUAAUUUAAAGUUUAAUCUGCUCAAUGAAUAAUUUUUUAAAUUGCCGCAGUAUUUUAACUGUGCAAAGGUAGCAUAAUAAUUAGUUUUUUAAUUGGAAACUGGAAUGAAUGAUUGGACGAGAAAAUUACUGUCUCUUUUUAAAUUGUAUUUGAAUUUAAUUUUUAAGUUAAAAGGCUUAAAUGUUUUUUAUAGACGAGAAGACCCUAUAGAGUUUAAUUUAACGAAUUAUUUUUUUUAUUUAGAAAUUGUUUAUUUGAUUUAUUUCAUUAGAUUUGGUUGGGGUGAUUGAAAAAUUUAAUUAACUUUUUUAUAUUUUAGUCAUUUAUUUGUGAUUUUUAAUUCUAAUUUUUUUAAGUUUAAUAUAAAUUACCUUAGGGAUAACAGCGUUAUUUUUACUUGAAGUUCUUAUUUUAGUAAAAGAUUGCGACCUCGAUGUUGGAUUAAAAUUUACUUUUGGUGCAGUAGCUAAAUUGUUAAGUCUGUUCGACUUUUAAAAUUUUACAUGAUCUGAGU